rnacentral:rRNA from 1 species
CGCCACAGGAUGAAUCUGCGCCCGAUUAGGUAAGUAGUUCGGGUAGAGGCCCAACUAGCCUGUUAUCGGUACGGGUUGUGGGAGCAAGAGCCCGGAGAUGGAAUCUGAGACACGAUUCCAGGCCCUACGGGGCGCAGCAGGCGCGAUAACUUUACAAUGCAGGAAACUGUGAUAAGGGAACCCCGAGUGCCCGUACACGCGGGCUGUCUGGGUGUUUAAAAUGCACCCAAAGAAAGGGCCGGGCAAGACCGGUGCCAGCCGCCGCGGUAAUACCGUCGGCUCGAGUGGUGACCACUUUUAUUGGGCUUAAAGCGUUCGUAGCUGGACUGUUAAGUCUCUUGGGAAAUCCGUCGGCUCAACCGACGGGCGUCUAAGAGAUACUGGCAGCCUUGGGACCGGGAGAGGUAAGAGGUACUCCGGGGGUAGGAGUGAAAUCCUGUAAUCCCCGGGGGACCACCUGUGGCGAAGGCGUCUUACCAGAACGGCUCCGACAGUGAGGAACGAAAGCUGGGGGAGCGAACCGGAUUAGAUACCCGGGUUGUCCCAGCCGUAAACGAUGCGCGUUAGGUGUACCGGCGACCACGAGUUGCCGGAGUGCCGAAGGGAAACCGUGAAACGUGCCGCCUGGGAAGUACGGUCGCAAGGCUGAAACUCAAAUGAAU